rnacentral:rRNA from 1 species
UACGGAGGGGGCUAGCGUUGUUCGGAAUUACUGGGCGUAAAGCGCACGUAGGCGGACCAGUUAGUUGGGGGUGAAAUCCCGGGGCUCAACCCCGGAACUGCCUCCAAAACUGCUGGUCUGGAGGUCGAGAGAGGUGAGUGGAAUUCCGAGUGUAGAGGUGAAAUUCGUAGAUAUUCGGAGGAACACCAGUGGCGAAGGCGGCUCACUGGCUCGAUACUGACGCUGAGGUGCGAAAGUGUGGGGAGCGAACAGG